GCUGCGUUAUGAGCACAGUGUUCAUAGCCAACUUACACUGACUGCAUGUACCUCGAGGAAAUGUGGCCUGCGCAGCAGCCUGAGGCAUCAUGUUCCAGAACACGUCAUUGUGAGUUUUGGAAGGUGGUUUUUACCUUGGACGCUUAUGACCAAACAGGACCUACUGAGGAAUGCCACUCAGUUCUAAUAUGAAAGUGGGGGAUGGUCACUGCUCCAUGAACUCUCGGUCACCUGUGAGCGCGAGCACCUGCAGUGACUGAGUUGCGUCGAUCAUAGAGGGAAUCGCCACAAGUAGCAUCGUCGGAUGGAGCACAGACUGCCAUAUCCACUGACCAUGCACGCCGAAUUUCGUCGUGGGCAUCUUGUCUACUGGAAUCUCGCAAAAGCUCUCUAGCAUCUUUGGAUGCCUUAAACAGCAGCAAGUGAGUAUCACAGCGGAGUAAAAUCCAGCGUGUGAACAUAAAGAAGCACAUCCAUGCACCGCACACCAU